GCCGGUGUGGCUCAGUGGGAGAGCGCUGCGCUCAUAACGCAGAGGUCGUGAGUUCGAUCCUCACCACCGGCA
rnacentral:tRNA from 1 species